UACGGAGGGUGCAAGCGUUAUCCGGAUUCACUGGGUUUAAAGGGUGUGUAGGCGGGCUAUUAAGUCAGCGGUGAAAUCUCCGGGCUCAACCCGGAAACUGCCAUUGAUACUAUUAGUCUUGAAUAUCGUUGAGGUAGGCGGAAUAUAUCAUGUAGCGGUGAAAUGCAUAGAUAUGAUAUAGAACACCGAUUGCGAAGGCAGCUUGCUAAACGAUGAUUGACGCUGAGGCACGAAAGCGUGGGGAUCAAACAGG
rnacentral:rRNA from 1 species